rnacentral:rRNA from 1 species
UGGGCAGUUUGACUGGGGCGGUCGCCUCCCAAAAGGUAACGGAGGCGCUCAAAGGUUCUCUCAGUACGGUCGGAAAUCGUACGUAGAGUGUAAAGGCAAAAGAGGGCUUGAUUGCAAGACAUACAGGGCGAGCAAGGAUGAAAAUCGGACUUAGUGAUCCGGUGGUUCUGCGUGGAAGGGCCAUCGCUCAACGGAUAAAAGCUACCCGGGGGAUAACAGGCUUAUCUCCCCCAAGAGUCCACAUCGACGGGGAGG